CUAUUAACCUUUUCACCCUUGUGCUGGUUAUCGGGGAUGCAGCUUCACGUGACACUGUAACCCUUACCCGAAACGAGAGAGAAUUGGUGCAUUGCAUCAUGGGUAGUCCGGGUCCCACAACCACAGAGCACAACAGGGAAACACAAAGAGAGUAACCACGCUUCCCCAGACCUGAGACAGGUGACCGCAGCUCACAAUGCACCCAAACCCAGUUGGUCAAGCCGACCACACACUGGGUCUGUGCUUCAGAGUCAGGGUUUUGCUAUUGCCAGCACUCAUGUGGUUGUCGUGACCGCAGGCAGUGAACCAUGGCCAGCAGGGUGGAUGGAGGAGGAAGUGUUCGAUUUGGGCGGACCGUGCGGUUGCCUGUGGCGUGGAACCCAGCAGAGCCGUGGGCGAGGGUGUUAGCCUCUAUUCAUCAGCUCCCAGGUGUGUCAGAUGGAAAGAUCCAUGCCUGUGCUCGGAAAAGCACACGGCUAAGCUGCCAGCUAGCCACCCGGUCACGGCAAGGCCUGCAGGCAGUUGCGAGGGGCGGAGCCUCGUCUGCAGCCAAUCUGGUGAGGAGCCCUGGGUCAGUUGAUCACGGAUGAUUCGUUCGUCUCAGACGCCCUCUUCAGCAAUCAGACGCCGUCUUCAGCAAUCAGACGCCCUCUUCAGCAAUCAGAUGUCGUCUUCAGCAAUCAGAUACUCUCUUCAGCAAUCAGACGCCGUCUUCAGCAAUCAGACGCCGUCUUCAGCAAUCAGACGCCGUCUUCAGCAAUCAGACGCCGUCUUCAGCAAUCAGACGCCCUCUUCAGCAAUCAGACGCCCUCUUCAGCAAUCAGACGCCCUCUUCAGCAAUCAGACGCCCUCUUCAGCAAUCAGACGCCGUCUUCAGCAAUCAGACGCCCUCUUCAGCAAUCAGACGCCCUCUUCAGCAAUCAGACGCCCUCUUCAGCAAUCAGACGCCCUCUUCAGCAAUCAGACGCCCUCUUCAGCAAUCAGACGCUCUCUUCAGCAAUCAGACGCCCUCUUCAGCAAUCAGACGCCCUCUUCAGCAAUCAGACACCCUCUUCAGCAAUCAGAUGCCGUCUUCAGCAAUCAGAUACUCUCUUCAGCAAUCAGACGCCCUCUUCAGCAAUCAGACGCCGUCUUCAGCAAUCAGACACCCUCUUCAGAAAUCAGACCCCAUCUUCAGCAGACGCCCUCUUCAGCAAUCAGAUGCUGUCUUCAGCAAUCAGAUCCCCUCCUCAGCAAUGAGACACCCUCUUCAGAAAUCAGACGCCAUCUUCAGCAGAUGCCCUCUUCAGUGAACAGACAGAUCCACCUCACGUCCCCUUCAGCAAUUGGUAUUCCCAAGUGUGUGCAUGUUGCUGUGGGAAUGUACCUAUUGGCCAGAUUUCCAUCUCCUGUCUGUGCCUGAGGAAUCUCCUUCAUGCCAGGCAGGUCCAGCAUGCAGAAGGUGCCAGAAGGAAAGAAAUCCGGAUGGGAGUGUGUCGGUGCUGCCCAGUCGAGGCCAAGAAUGCCAGUCUACUGACCUUUGACCUCUGAGCAGGAAGCUGGGUUUAGUGUAGAGAUAUGGGGGGAAUUGUGCUCCUUCCGAGCUGGGAUACAAACCCACCCCCCCCUCCCUGCCCCCCCAAGUACUCCAUUCUCACUUGACACAGCUAGGUACAACACACAGACAGAAAACUAAAUCGAAAGCUCUGUCUGGAUAUUAUGGGAUAUGAGGACGGUUCUGCCCAAAUGCACCUCCCAAGAAUCUGGGAGCGUCCUCUUAUUCCAAAAAUCUGUGCCCACAUGUGGGUUCGAGGAUUACACUCUACUGUGUGGAUUUUAGGCACAGGAGGCUUGCUCCAUCAUCAUGGCCGCCAGUGUUGGCUCGCGAUGCGUGAGGCUGGGCAUGUCCCUCUUGGGUGGGAGCUGUUGUUCCCCCCCCAUCACAAAGCGCGGGGCGCGGCCACUCCUCUGGGCCAGCAAAGCAAGGCAGGUCUAAACAUGAGCGCACUUCUCCAAUAGCAGCCCCCACUGACUCAGCACCCCAAACCCGUGCAGCUCUGACAGAGUUGCGACGACUCACCUGAGUCAUGUGUCAUGUCCGUGUCUCGCCCCUGUGUGCCCCACCUCAACAGGAGGGGGGGCUACAUAUUGUGGUCACUACUCGCAAACAUGCAACAUUGAGCUUGUGCUGCUGGUGUUCCGGUUCAGCGUCUCAUUCUGGACUUGCUGGGGUCGAAACCCCAACACAUUCUGCCCAUUUUAUACCUCCUCCUACUGUGUUUCCAUCUGUGGUCACCCAAAAAAUGCCAGGAGAUCCUUCUGUCCACACUGAGCCACGACCCAUCAUGCCGGCCCCUGCUGGACGUGAUGAAGCUGAUUCCUGUGGAUGCCUGGCCAUUGAGGCUCAGCUGUAAUGUGGCAGAUCACAGCCAUAGCCGACAUUAAGUGACUUCCUCAUGUGAGCCAUUCCCUGCUUUGUUCUGAGUUCACACAGCUCUUCCGUUCAGUCCCGCUGCCUGAUAAGAGCUGCCUGUCCUGGGGUUGAACGAGGGAGGGGGUCCCUAUACCUGCCUCCCCGCAGACCACCAGCAAGAGCACGGGAAGCAGACCUCACAUUUCUUGAGCUUGACAGCUCCGUUUUAAGCAGGCUUUUCCUUUUUUCCUUGUCAUUUAUCACUUUUAUUUUUUUUAUCCUGUUAUGUUAUUUCCAGAUGCACUGGUGUGGUUUUUAAGUGGGGGGGGUUCAUAUGGGGGUGUCUCUCUUGCACCCUUAGAUAAUAAAGGAGAGAUGAAACACCCAGGAUGGCUGCCUCCCGACAUGUGCUUUCAGCUGGGGGGGGGAGACUGGUGGUUCACAAAGGACCAUAAAAAUACCGUUUCACAGUCUUCCUGGCACCAGAGAGCUUAACUGUAAAGCUCGGUCAAGCACAUUUACGCACAUAGAUGACAGACACAGGGCGAACGGCGACCCCACCCUGUCCUCAUAUGUCCCCCCCCACACACACACACAGACACGCACGCACACACACGGGUUUGUAAUUAUAUCUUUGUGGGGACUCUCUAUUCAUUUCUUAUCGCCUAACCGGCACUAACCGUAACCAUAAGUAACCAAAUGAAACACGAGACUUUUGGCAUUUUUACUUUUUUGAUUGUAUUCACAGGUCUUUGUGAGGGCCUGGAAAAUGGUCCUCACGAUGUUCAAAAAAAAACAUCAUUGUGGGGACAUUGUGGUCUAAUCCACACACACACGGCACAGCUAAUGGCACCAGCGUUCCUGUACCGCUUCCCCAGCAGAUCCGAAGCAGGCGCAGUGAUUAUGUCAAAGUUCCUGGGCCUCUUGCUGUGGGACAUCAGAAGCCAUGAUCCUCAUAGCCACAAACAUCUGGAACAAGAGGCUGCAGCUUCACUCCAGGCUUCCUGUCGUGGAGGAACUGGCUGGCGGUCGGUGCCAAUCUUCAGAAUUUGAUGUAUGCUGGCAUGGCGAUGAUGAUGAUGAUGAAGAUGGUGAUUGUUGGUUUGAAUCCCAUCUCCUGGAAUAAUCAUGUCUCUGUCGGACCCUUGAGCAAGGCCUUUAACCCGCUAAAACGUACCAGAGGUGCCCAGUAAAUGGCUGACACUGAGCUUAGACCUCAAGCUUUCUCUCAUAAUAGACAUAAGGUGCGUAUGUCUUAGAGGAGAGCAAGACGGGAUAUGCAGAAAACAAAAGAAUUCCGGUGUAAUCGUGCAAACGGCAAAUAAAAACGUCACUUCAUUUCAUCAGCCAGAGUGCAGACCAGGACAAAUCUCCAGACGGCCGCCAGCAGGAACCUGCUGCCUGCUGAUUUACCCAUUUUCUUGCGUGAUUCUCCACCGGUGCAGAUCUGAUCUGCAGGCCCCCCAGCAUUCUGCUGGCUCCUCGCACACGUACAGAUCUUAGGUGUUCCCGUCCAGACACGCCCGGAGCUGACCGCACCCACACCGUUUGUGACGAGGAGUGCAUCCGAGGCUUGGAAAGUGGAUCCGGAAGUCUG